GAUGAACGCUAGCGGCAGGCUUAAUACAUGCAAGUCGAGGGGCAGCAUGAAUGUAGCAAUACAAUUGUUGACGACCGGCAAACGGGUGCGGAACACGUACACAACCUUCCUACAAGUGGGGAAUAGCCCAGAGAAAUUUGGAUUAAUACCCCGUAACAUAGCGAUGUGGCAUCACAUUGCUAUUAUAGCUUCGGCGCUUGUUGAUGGGUGUGCGGCUGAUUAGAUAGUUGGCGGGGUAACGGCCCACCAAGUCUACGAUCAGUAGCUGAUGUGAGAGCAUGAUCAGCCACACGGGCACUGAGACACGGGCCCGACUCCUACGGGAGGCAGCAGUAAGGAAUAUUGGACAAUGGACGCAAGUCUGAUCCAGCCAUGCCGCGUGAAGGAUUAAGGUCCUCUGGAUUGUAAACUUCUUUUAUAAGGGACGAAAAAAGGUCUUUCUAGAUCGUCUGACGGUACCUUAUGAAUAAGCACCGGCUAACUCCGUGCCAGCAGCCGCAGUAACAC
rnacentral:rRNA from 1 species